rnacentral:rRNA from 1 species
GACGAACGCUGGCGGCGUGCUUAACACAUGCAAGUCGAACGGAAAGGCCCUGCUUUUGUGGUGGGCUCGAGUGGCGAACGGGUGAGUAACACGUGAGUAACCUGCCCUUGACUUUGGGAUAACUUCAGGAAACUGGGGCUAAUACCGGAUAGGAGCUCCUGCUGCAUGGUGGGGGUUGGAAAGUUUCGGCGGUUGGGGAUGGACUCGCGGCUUAUCAGCUUGUUGGUGGGGUAGUGGCUUACCAAGGCUUUGACGGGUAGCCGGCCUGAGAGGGUGACCGGCCACAUUGGGACUGAGAUACGGCCCAGCCUCCUCCGGGAGGCAGCAGUGGGGAAUAUUGCACAAUGGGCGGAAGCCUGAUGCAGCAACGCCGCGUGCGGGAUGACGGCCUUCGGGUUGUAAACCGCUUUCGCCUGUGACGAAGCGUGAGUGACGGUAAUGGGUAAAGAAGCACCGGCUAACUACGUG